CCUUGUACACACCGCCCGUCAAGCCAUGGGAGCCGGGAGUGCCCGAUGUCGCCUAGCUAACCGCAAGGAGGCUGGCGCCUAAGGUAAAACCGGUGACUGGGGCU
rnacentral:rRNA from 1 species